ACCGUUCCACGUGAUUCGGCAGCACUGAAGGCAGCACCCGGGAACUUCUGAUACCAAACUCCGCGAACAGUGACGCAGACCCCACGCUUGCAGACCACACGCUUCCGUACAGACCUCAGCUGCCAGGCGCACUGUGAGCCCCACAGGUGGACCACCGUGACUGUAGAGGCGCUACACGGCCCCACGCACUCCGCAGACGCAGCGUCGCAACCUCGGCAGCCCACCCCACCCCACCCCACUCAACCGGGCCCGCCGCGGCGCCCAGGCGGCAGGCAGCAAGGACAGCCUUGUGCGAGCCCGAUCUGGGCCUUCCUGGGCGCGGCUACCGCAAGAGCUUAACGGAUCAGCUACCUGGGGCUCUCCCGUAGGAUCAGCGCCGCGGGGACCGCCAUCUUCGGCUUUCUCGCACUGCCGCCGUCUGUUAGCUGCGCCGAACCCAGCCAAUGGCGGCCGCGGCGGACGGAAAGCCGGAAGGCCCAAGCCGCGCAGGGGCCGUUUUAGGGCUCCGGGUCUCCUGCGACCCGGGCGCCGGGAGACUUGUCCCGCAGUCCUGGAGGGCGGAGAGGGCAGCCCAGUUGCCCUCCCGACACUCCAAUCGUGUUGGAGUUAAGUCUGUGCAUAUAUAUGUCUUUAUAUUUAUAUAUUAUAUAUGUAUGUACAUACCUGGAUAGGGGUGUGUGUCUGUAUUUAAUAGGGCAGGUUUAAGCAAGUCUAUGUACAGACCUGUAUAGAUAUAUGUGUGUAUGUUCGUGCAUAAAUAUAUACAUUAUUAUUUUUAAUAGGGCAGGUUUAAGCAAGCCCGUGUAUACAUACUUGGAUAAAUGGUGUGUGCGUGUGUAUAUUUUUUUAAUAGGGCGGGUUUAAGUGAGCCUGUGUGUACAUACUUGGAUAGGUGAUUUGUGAGUAUUUUUUUUUCCAGCGUUUGGGCUACAGAGAGGCAGGCAUUUGAGCGAGCUCCCCCGAGCCUGCCCAGGAAGCGGCGCAUCACCCCUCAGGAGAGGUGGUGCCUCCAGUUCCACCCUAAGCACUGUGCCGUCAACCCCUCCUGUAUCUGCAUCUGCAGGGCUUGUAGUAUGUACGUUCAAUUCCUUCAGCAACGUUCAAUGAAUGAGUGCCUACUGUGUACCAAGCACUGUUCUAGGCACUGGAGAUACAAAAGGCCAAAAUUCCUGCCCUCAGGGUUUGCCGGCAGUCUAAAUGGACAAGUAUUUGUUGCACCCUUCUUUAGAGUCUGACAGUGCAGAGUAGGGGAGAUGAAUCGCUGCAGUGAGUGAUGUCAAAGACCUCACCCAAGACUAGGGAGACACCAUGUUUGCAUAAAUACCUUGGUCUGCCUUUGAGAAAAACAUGGAGUGAGUUAAAGGAAUUCAGAUGUGGGAGCAGUGAAAGGCAUCCGAGGUAAGAUCAGGAAAAGCUCCCUAGGGCAGGUGGCAAAUGCGGUGGGUCUGCAGAGAUGUGGAGGGUGAGGCUGUGUGUUUCAGGUCAGUAGAGUAGAAGGGCGGUUUGACGUUUGAAGAACAGGAAUUUAGACUAGAAAAAGCCUUUAAUGACUGGUUGUGGCAUGUGCACUUAAUCUGGUGAGAAAUGGGUAAGCAUUAAAUGUUUUUUCUAUCCAUUAAAUGUUUUGAACCAAAGAAA
ensembl:lncRNA novel transcript, antisense to COMMD10